rnacentral:rRNA from 1 species
UACGGAGGAUGCAAGCGUUAUCCGGAUUCAUUGGGUUUAAAGGGUGCGUAGGCGGACUAUUAAGUCAGUGGUGAAAGCCUGCAGCUUAACUGCAGAACUGCCAUUGAUACUGAUAGUCUUGAGUUUGGUUAAGGUAGGCGGAAUGUGUAAUGUAGCGGUGAAAUGCUUAGAUAUUACACAGAACACCGAUUGCGAAGGCAGCUUACUAAUCCAUCAUUGACGCUGAGGCACGAAAGCGUGGGGAUCAAACA